rnacentral:lncRNA from 1 species
AUGUUCACCUUAGAUAUAGCCAAAGUUUGCUGUUAAGUAUUUUGAUUCAGAAUUUGUAUUUUUUCUUAUUAGAGUAGAAGUUGCUGCCAUCCCUUGGAGCGAUUGUGGAGGUCAGAGAGACAACCAUAUUGAUUUUUGUCAUUGAUACAAAAGAAAACUCUCCCUUCACUUGGCUUGGACUGUUAUCAUUGCUGAAUUUCUGUAAGCAGUUACACAGUGGCUGUUCAAUGAGCCAUACCUAACAAAGUAAUGAGGUUUAAUUAGCCCAGCUUAAUCUGACACUGUGCUGCUGGCACACUAUCUUCUUGUACAGCUGGCUAGUGAUGCAUGUAUGCAUAUGAAAUAAAGAUCACUCCUUAAAAUUUUUCUUUGCUUCU